GCGACCUCAGGUCAAGUGAGAUUAUCUACUAAGUUUAAGAUUAUUAAUAAGUGGAUAAAAAGAAACAUAGAAGGAUUCCCCUAGUAAUGGCGAGCAAACCGAGAAUAGCCCAACUUGAAAAUCAUGCUACAUUACCAUUCAAAUUGUAGUCUAUAGAAACAUCCUUAAUGGUAGACCAGGCCCAAGUCCCUUGGAAGAGGUUCCCAGAGAGGUGAGUGCCCCAUGAUGCUUGACCAUGUCGCACCACGAGGCAUUGUCAGCGAGUCGUGUUGUUUGGGAAUGUAGACCUAAUCAGGCGGUAAAUUCCCCCAAGGCUAAAUACAGGUGAGAGACCGAUAGUAAAUAAGUACAGUGAGAGAAAGAUGAAAAGGACAUUAAAAAAAGAGUCAAAGAGUGCUUGAAAUUAUCAGGAGGUAAAUGGAUGGGGGCUUGUGAUGCACCUCGAUUAGAUGUGGAAUGGUGAUAGCCGGUCUGUCGAUUAACUUGGGUCGCAGACCUGUGUGGAUUGCACUAUCGUAAAUCCCAUGGAGAUGCCUUUACCUCGAUUGUGGCUUGCAGUGCAUGCCUCUGGCCUUCUCCAGCAUCUGCGUUCUCUCGGCACCGGUUAGUAAGCUCCCCAUUCGAUCUAUCUUGAAACAUAGAUAGAGAGACUAAAAUGUGUAUGAGUCAGUGAGUGAGUAAACCUGAAAGGUGAAAGGAAGUUGAUUGGCAAGAUCCCCUAGGUUAUGCCACCAAUCAACCUUGAUCUUCAGAGAAGGGUUCGAGUGUGAGCAUGCCUGUCAAGCCUUGAAAGAUGUUGAACUAUUCCUGACUGGGGCAAAGCCAAAGGAAAAUCUUGUGGAGGCCCGCAGUGAUACUGACAUGAGAAUCAUUCAUCUAACUUGUGUAUGGGGGCUAAAGACUAAUCGAACCGUCUAGUAGCUACUUCCCUCAGAAGUUUCCCUUAAGAUAACUGGAGCUCAGGAGCGAGUUCAUCGGGUAAAGCCAAUGAUUAGAGGCAGCAAAGGCACAAUGCCCUCCCUAUUCUCAAAUGUUAACAGGUAGGAUGGCGUGGCUACUCUGAUGAGCCAUGCCACAGAAUCGGGAGCUCUAAUUGGGCCAUUUUUGGUAAGUAGAACUACCGAUACAAGAUGAAUAGAAAGUUAGGUUACGGUGUCCAACUAUGCACUAACCUAGAACCCACAAAGGGUAUUGGUCAAUUAAGAUAGCAAGAUGGUGCUCAUGGAAGUUGAAAUCCACUAAAGAGUACAUAAGAACUCACUUGCCAAAUCAACUAGCCCUGAAAAUGGAUGACGCUGAAGCACGCGGCCUAUACCUGGCCAUCAGGGCUAGUGCCGGGCCCCGAUGAGUAGGAGGGUGUAACGGUCACUACAAAACCUUGGGCAUGAGCUCAGGUAAAGUGGCCAUUGAUACGGAUCAUGAUGGUAGUAGCAAAUAUUGAAAUGAGAACUUUGAAGGCCAAAGAGGGGAAAGUUUAUAUGUGAACGGAACUUACACAUCGGUUAGUCGAUCCUAAGAGUCGAGGAAAGCCAGACAGAGAGUGCGUCUAGUGCGAAUAUCGAAAAGGAAUCGAGUUAAAGUUCAUGAACUAGGAUGUGGUGGCUAACAGCAACUUUAGGGAGUCUGAAGAUGUCAGCAAGGGCCUUGGGAAGAGUUAUCUUUUAUGUUUAAUAGCCUAUCUACCCUAGAAAUGGCUUAGCCAGAGGUAGGGUCUAGCUGUUGGAAGAGCACCGCACGUCACAUGGUGUCCGGUGCACCCCGGUGGGCCUUGAAGAUCCAAAGGAUAGAGUGCCUCCCAUACCUGAUCGUACUCAUAACCACAAUAGUUCUCCAUGGUGAAUAACCUCUGGUCGAUGGAACAAUGUAGGCAAAAGAAAUUGGAAAAAUAGAUCUGUAACUUUGGGGAAAGGAUUGGCUUUGAGGGUCGGUUACGAGGUUCCCAGUCCCAAACCCAUCGGUUACCUGUGGACUACUGAAGUUGCUCCCACGGUGAGAGCGGGUCACCGCGUGUCGAUCGGGGGAUAAAAUGGGAACGGCUCCUCACUGGGCCAUUUUUAUCCAUCGAACAAUCGACUCAGAAUAGGUACAGAUAAGGGGAAUCUGACUAGUUAAUUAAAACAAAGCGUUGAGAUGGUCCCUUCGGAUGCUCACACGAUGUGGUUUAUGCCCAAUGCAUUGAAUGCCAAAGUGAAGAAAUUCAACCAAAUGCAAGUAAAUGGCAGGAGUAACUAUGACUCUCUUAAGGUAACCAAAUGCCUCGUCCUCUAGUGAUGCACAUGAAACCACAGCUAUGACUAUCCAAUGAAACAACAGCUAAGGGAACGGGCUUGGCUAAAUCAACGGGGAAAAAAACCCUAUUCAGCUUGACUCUAGUUCAACUUUGUGAAAUGAAUUGAGAGGUAUAGGAUAAGUGGGAGCCAGAAAUGGCGAAGGUGAAAUACCACUACUUUCAAUAUUAUUUUACUUAUUUUGUGAAUCAGAAACGGGGCACUGCCCCUAUUUUUUGACCAAAGACUUGCCUCGGAGGGCCUAUCCGAGUAGAAGACAUUGUCAAAUGGGGAGUUUGGCUGGGGUAGCACAUCUGUUAAUAGAUAAUGCAAGUAUCCUAAGAUAAGCUUAACGAGAGUAGAAAUCUCAUGAGGAAUAGAAGGGCAAAAGUGUGGCCUAACGAUCCUUUAGACCAUCAGAAUUUGGAGCUGGAGGUGUCAAAAAAGUUCCACAGGGAUAAUUAGCUUGUGGCGGCAGGCAUUCAUAGCGAUAUUAUUUUUUGAUCCUUCAAUAUCAACUUUUCUUAUCAUUGUGAAGCAAAAUUCCCCAAGUGUUGGAUUGUUCACCCACCGAUAGGGAACGUGAGUCGGGUUUAGAUCGUCAUGACAUAGGUUAGUUUUACCCUACAGAUGACAGUGUCGUAAUAGUAAUUCAACCUAGCAAGAGGAACCGUUGAUUCGCAUAAUUGGUCAUCGAGCUUGGUUUAAAAGCUAAUGGCUCAAAGUUACCGUGCGCUCAAUUAUGACUGAACACCUCUUAGUCAGAGUCUAAGCUAGAAGAAAUGCAUAUGCCCGCCGAUCAUUUACGCACUAGUAGUAUGUGCCAUUCAACCCCCAAAAGGCAUGUGUCAUAGAUGAAACCUACGCGACAAACAAGUUGUGCAGGCCGCCUUAAAGUACAAGUCCUAUCAAGCAGC
rnacentral:rRNA from 1 species